GACGAACGCUGGCGGCGUGCUUAACACAUGCCAGUCGAACGGAAAGGCCCUGCUUUUGUGGGGUGCUCGAGUGGCGAACGGGUGAGUAACACGUGAGUAACCUGCCCUUGACUUUGGGAUAACUUCAGGAAACUGGGGCUAAUACCGGAUAGGAGCUCCUGCUGCAUGGUGGGGGUUGGAAAGUUUCGGCGGUUGGGGAUGGACUCGCGGCUUAUCAGCUUGUUGGUGGGGUAGUGGCUUACCAAGGCUUUGACGGGUAGCCGGCCUGAGAGGGUGACCGGCCACAUUGGGACUGAGAUACGGACCAGACUCCUAAGGGAGGCAGCAGUGGGGAAUAUUGCAUAAUGGGCGGAAGCCUGAUGCAGCAACGCAGCGUGCGGGAUGACGGACUUCGGGUUGUAAACCGCUUUCGCCUGUGACGAAGCGUGAGUGACGGUAAUGGGUAAAGAAGCACCGGCUAACUACGUG
rnacentral:rRNA from 1 species